CCUACGGGUGGCAGCAGUAGGGAAUAUUGCUCAAUGGGGGAAACCCUGAAGCAGCAACGCCGCGUGGAGGAAGAAGGUUUUCGGAUCGUAAACUCCUUUUGUUAGAGAAGAUUAUGACGGUAUCUGACUAAUAAGCACCGGCUAACUCCGUGCCAGCAGCCGCGGUAAUACGGAGGAGGCGAGCGUUAUCCGGAUUUAUUGGGUGUAAAGGGUGCGUAGGCGGCAGGAUAAGUCAGAGGUAAAAUGUCGGUGCUAAACACGGGCCUGCUGUUGAAACUGGUCUGCUUGAGUGAGGGAGAGGGAUGCGGAAUGCCUGGUGUAGCGGUGAAAUGCAUAGAUAUUAGGCAGAACACCGGUGGCGAAGGCAGCAUACUGG
rnacentral:rRNA from 1 species